UACAGAGGUCUCAAGCGUUGUUCGGAUUCAUUGGGCGUAAAGGGUGCGUAGGUGGCGCGCUAAGUCAGGUGUGAAAUUUCGGAGCUUAACUCCGAAACUGCAUUUGAUACUGGCGUGCUUGAGGACUGGAGAGGAGACUGGAAUUCAUGGUGUAGCAGUGAAAUGCGUAGAGAUCAUGAGGAAGACCAGUGGCGAAGGCGGGUCGUCUGGACAGUUCCUGACACUGAGACACGAAGGCCAGGGGAGCAAACGGG
rnacentral:rRNA from 1 species